UUUCUUUUUUUAAAUAUAAACAUUUUAUUCCCAAUGGGGGCCUGGUGUGCAAUGGUUGAAACAGCAGCCCCCUUGGUUGUGUUUGCAGCCUGUUGCUUGUAUAGAUUGCGCUAAGGGACCUUAGAGACAUUC